CCCUUAGAUGUUCUGGGCUGCACGCGCGCUACACUGAAGCUAUCAACACGUUUUCCCUCCCUGAGAAGGGCGGGUAACCUUUUGAAUCAGCUUCGUGGUAGGGAUCGGGGCUUGCAAUUGUUCCCCGUGAACCAGGAAUUCCUAGUAGACGCGAGUCAUAAGCUCGCAUCGAUUAAGUCCCUGCCCUUUGUACACACCGCCCGUCGCUACUACCGAUUGAACGUUUUAGUGAGGCAUUUGGACCGACGCAUUUCAGUUUAACCGCUGGUUUGUGUUGGAAAGACUUCCAAACUUGAGCGUUUAGAGGAAGUAAAAGUCGUAACA
rnacentral:rRNA from 1 species